rnacentral:misc_RNA from 1 species
AAGUCGUAACAAGGUCUCCGUUGGUGAACCAGCGGAGGGAUCAUUACCGAGUUUACAACUCCCAAACCCCUGUGAACCAUACCUAUAUGUUGCUUCGGCGGAUGCGCCCCAGCGCCUUCGUGCCUGGGACCAGGCGCCCGCCGGGGGCCUUUCAAACACUCUUUUGUAUCAUUGCAUAAUCUGAGUAUUAAACAAAUAAAUCAAAACUUUCAACAACGGAUCUCUUGGUUCUG